CAAGAUGAGAGGAAACAUCUGGACCUCACUCAUAACCUGCUCACACUGGAUGAAUCUCAAGAGCUUCACUCUUUGGAUGACACAGAAGCACAAACAGCAGGAGAAUCAAGGUAAACACGUCCUGCCUGUGCUGUCCCAGGACCUCCGCUACUCACUGGACUCAUGGCUGGCUGUGAGCUCCUCACACAUGGAGUAUGCCCAUAAAUGCUCCUUAAUACAAGUUCACGAAAUAAGAAAGAAAAGAUUUGACAAGCUCACUCAUCGUGGAAGACAGAAAGCCAAUCCCAUUUAUGCAGCUAUCUGAGUAAUUGUAUUAACCCUCUCCCAAAGCAGCAUCAUGUGACCUUUAGAAAGACCUACAGUUCUGCUGAGAUCCAAGACUGAAAUGCCAAGGGCAAAUAUCCCACCAGCUCACAGCUGCACUCACCAUCUGAUGGCACCUGCAUGAAAACCUGAUGCA
rnacentral:lncRNA from 1 species